rnacentral:rRNA from 1 species
AGUGAACGCUGGCGGUAGGCCUAACACAUGCAAGUCGAACGGCAGCACAGUAAGAGCUUGCUCUUACGGGUGGCGAGUGGCGGACGGGUGAGGAAUACAUCGGAAUCUACUUUUUCGUGGGGGAUAACGUAGGGAAACUUACGCUAAUACCGCAUACGACCUACGGGUGAAAGCAGGGGAGCUUCGGACCUUGCGCGAUUGAAUGAGCCGAUGUCGGAUUAGCUAGUUGGCGGGGUAAAGGCCCACCAAGGCGACGAUCCGUAGCUGGUCUGAGAGGAUGAUCGGCCACACUGGAACUGAGACACGGUCCAGACUCCUACGGGAGGCAGCAGUGGGGAAUAUUGGACAAUGGGCGAAAGCCUGAUCCAGCCAUACCGCGUGGGUGAAGAAGGCCUUCGGGUUGUAAAGCCCUUUUGUUGGGAAAGAAAAGCAGCAGGUUAAUACCCCGCUGUUCUGACGGUACCCAAAGAAUAAGCACCGGCUAACUUCGUG